rnacentral:rRNA from 1 species
GUUAAUUCGACGCAACGCGAAGAACCUUACCAGGUCUUGACAUCCAGUAAAAGCAUCAGAGAUGAUGUGUGAGCUUGCUCAUACUGAGACAGGUGGUGCAUGGUUGUCGUCAGCUCGUGUCGUGAGAUGUUGGGUUAAGUCCCGCAACGAGCGCAACCCUUGUUUAUAGUUACUAACACGCAGAGGUGAGGACUCUAUAGAGACUGCCGGGGACAACUCGGAGGAAGGUGGGGACGACGUCAAAUCAUCAUGCCCCUUAUGACCUGGGCUACACACGUGCUACAAUGGCCGUGACAAAGAGGAGCGAGCCUGUGAGGGUAAGCAGAUCUCAAAAAAGCGGUCUCAGUUCGGAUUGUGGGCUGCAACCCGCCCACGUGAAGUCGGAGUUGCUAGUAAUCGCGGAUCAGCAUGCCGCGGUGAAUACGUUCCCGGGCCUUGUACACACCGCCCGUCACACCAUGGGAGUUGGUAGCACCCGAAACUGGUGAGGUAACCGCAAGGGGCCAGCCAGCUAAAGGUGAGACCAAUGACUGGGGUG